rnacentral:rRNA from 1 species
CGUAGGGUGCGAGCGUUAAUCGGAAUUACUGGGCGUAAAGCGUGCGCAGGCGGUUUGUUAAGAUAGGCGUGAAAUCCCCGGGCUCAACCUGGGAACUGCGCUUAUGACUGGCAAGCUAGAGUACGGCAGAGGGGGUGAAUUCCACGUGUAGCAGUGAAAUGCGUAGAGAUGUGGAGGAACACCAAUGGCGAAGGCAGCCCCCUGGGUCGAUACUGACGCUCAUGCACGAAAGCGUGGGUAGCAAACAGGAUUAGAUACCCUGGUAGUCCACGCCCUAAACGAUGUCAACUAGGUGUUGGAUGGGUAAAACCAUUUAGUACCGGAGCUAACGCGUGAAGUUGACCGCCUGGGGAGUACGGCCGCAAGGUUA